AGAGUUUGAUCCUGGCUCAGGACGAACGCUGGCGGUGUGCUUCACACAUGCAAGUCGAGCGGAUGAAGUAGGUAGCUUGCUACUUAUGGAUUUAGCGGCGGACGGGUGAGUAAUAUAUAGGAAUCUGCCUUAGAGCGGGGAACAACAGACCGAAAGGUUUGCUAAUGCCCCAUAGGUAUGCAGUCUUCGGAUUGUAUAUUAAAGGAGUAAUCCACUCUAAGAUGAGCCUGUAUCCGAUUAGCUAGUUGGCGGGGUAAAGGCCCACCAAGGCUACGAUCGGUAGUUGGUCUGAGAGGAUGAUCAGCCACAAUGGGACUGAGACACGGCCCAUACUCCUACGGGAGGCAGCAGUGGGGAAUUUUACACAAUGGGGGAAACCCUGAUGUAGCGACACCGCGUGAACGAAGAAGCCUUUUGGGGUGUAAAGUUCUGUCGGCUGGAACGAAAAAAAUGACGGUACCAGCAAAGGAAGCAUCGGCUAACUACGUGCCAGCAGCCGCGGUAAGACGUAGGAUGCAAGCGUUGUCCGGAUUUAUUGGGCGUAAAGAGUUCGUAGGCGGUUAUUUAAGUCUGAUGUUAAAUACUGUGGCCCAACCACAGAACUGCAUUGGAUACUGGAUGACUUGAGUGCGGUAGAGGCAAGUGGAAUUCCCAGUGUAGCGGUGAAAUGCGUAGA
rnacentral:rRNA from 1 species